rnacentral:lncRNA from 1 species
CCCGAAAUACAAGGCACAAGGUGCAUCGGGUUUGAGCUCAGGUAUGUUUGUCAUUGAGAUAAACAUGUCUAUUGAUAAUUCACAAUCUUGGGUAUUAGAUACAGCUUGUGGCUCACACAUUUGCAAUAAUGUGCAGGGCCUAAGUGAAACCAAGAAAGUGAUGCCCGGGGAAGUCGAUCUACGCGUGGGAAAUGGAGCAAGAGUUGCUGCUGAACGCGUGGGGACUUAUAGAUU